AUCGCCGUAGCUCAGACGGUGAGAGCGCCGCCCUGAUAAGGCGGAGGUCGCUGGUUCGAGUCCAGCCGGCGAUACGA
rnacentral:tRNA from 1 species